rnacentral:rRNA from 1 species
CCUACGGGUGGCAGCAGUGGGGAAUAUUGCGCAAUGGGCGAAAGCCUGACGCAGCGACGCCGCGUGAGGGAUGAAGGUCUUCGGAUUGUAAACCUCUGUCAGCAGGGAAGAACGGUCACUGUGCUAAUCAGCAGUGAAUUGACGGUACCUGCAAAGGAAGCACCGGCUAACUCCGUGCCAGCAGCCGCGGUAAUACGGAGGGUGCGGGCGUUAAUCGGAAUUACUGGGCGUAAAGCGCUCGUAGGCGGUAUGUCAAGUCAAGGGGGAAAUCCCCGCGCUCAACGGGGGAACUGCCUUUGAAACUGGCAAACUGGAGUGUGAGAGAGGAUAGUGGAAUUCCAGGUGUAGGAGUGAAAUCCGUAGAUAUCUGGAGGAACAUCAGUGGCGAAGGCGACUAUCUGGCACAUAACUGACGCUGAGGAGCGAAAGCGUGGGUAGCAAACAGGAUUAGAUACCCUAGUAGUC